GAUGAACGCUGGCGGCGUGCUUAACACAUGCAAGUCGAACGAAGCACUUUAACCUGAUUCUUCGGAUGAAGGUUUUUGUGACUGAGUGGCGGACGGGUGAGUAACGCGUGGGUAACCUGCCUCAUACAGGGGGAUAACAGUUAGAAAUGACUGCUAAUACCGCAUAAGACCACAGAGCCGCAUGGCUCGGUGGGAAAAACUCCGGUGGUAUGAGAUGGACCCGCGUCUGAUUAGGUAGUUGGUGGGGUAACGGCCUACCAAGCCAACGAUCAGUAGCCGAACUGAGAGGGUGACCGGCCACAUUGGGACUGAGACACGGCCCAAACUCCUACGGGAGGCAGCAGUGGGGAAUAUUGCACAAUGGGGGAAACCCUGAUGCAGCGACGCCGCGUGAGCGAAGAAGUAUUUCGGGAUGUAAAGCUCUAUCAGCAGGGAAGAAAAUGACGGUACCUGACUAAGAAGCACCGGCUAAAUACGUG
rnacentral:rRNA from 1 species